rnacentral:rRNA from 1 species
AUACGUAGGGUGCAAGCGUUAAUCGGAAUUACUGGGCGUAAAGCGUGCGCAGGCGGUUUUGUAAGACAGUGGUGAAAUCCCCGGGCUCAACCUGGGAACUGCCAUUGUGACUGCAAGGCUGGAGUGCGGCAGAGGGGGAUGGAAUUCCGCGUGUAGCAGUGAAAUGCGUAGAUAUGCGGAGGAACACCGAUGGCGAAGGCAAUCCCCUGGGCCUGCACUGACGCUCAUGCACGAAAGCGUGGGGAGCAAACAGGAUUAGAUACCCUGGUAGUCCACGCCCUAAACGAUGUCAACUGGUUGUUGGGGAUUUAUUUUCUCAGUAACGAAGCUAACGCGUGAAGUUGACCGCCUGGGGAGUACGGUCGCAAGGUUAAAACUUAAAGGAAUUGACGGGG